rnacentral:rRNA from 1 species
GACGAACGCUGGCGGCAUGCCUAACACAUGCAAGUCGAGCGAGUAGAUCCCUUCGGGGUGAAGCUAGCGGCGGACGGGUGAGUAACACGUGGGCAACCUGCCUCAUAGAGGGGAAUAGCCUUCCGAAAGGAAGAUUAAUACCGCAUAAGAUUGUAGUACCGCAUGGUAUAGCAAUUAAAGGAGCAAUCCGCUAUGAGAUGGGCCCGCGGCGCAUUAGCUAGUUGGUGAGGUAACGGCUUACCAAGGCGACGAUGCGUAGCCGACCUGAGAGGGUGAUCGGCCACAUUGGGACUGAGACACUGCCCAGACUCCUACGGGAGGCAGCAGUGGGGAAUAUUGCACAAUGGGGGAAACCCUGAUGCAGCAAUGCCGCGUGAGUGAUGACGGCCUUCGGGUUGUAAAGCUCUGUCUUCGGGGACGAUAAUGACGGUACCCGAGGAGGAAGCCACGGCUAACUACGUGCCAGCCGCCGCAGUAA